rnacentral:rRNA from 1 species
CUCUGUGACUCCUACGGGAGGCAGCAGUGGGGAAUAUUGCACAAUGGGCGCAAGCCUGAUGCAGCCAUGCCGCGUGUAUGAAGAAGGCCUUCGGGUUGUAAAGUACUUUCAGCAGUGAGGAAGGCGGGUACGUUAAUAGCGUGCUCGUUUGACGUUAGCUGCAGAAGAAGCACCGGCUAACUCCGUGCCAGCAGCCGCGGUAAUACGGAGGGUGCGAGCGUUAAUCGGAAUUACUGGGCGUAAAGCGCAUGCAGGCGGCCUGUUAAGUCAGAUGUGAAAGCCCCGGGGCUUAACCUCGGAAUUGCAUUUGAAACUGGCAGGCUAGAGUCUUGUAGAGGGGGUAGAAUUUCAGGUGUAGCGGUGAAAUGCGUAGAGAUCUGAAGGAAUACCAGUGGCGAAGGCGGCCCCCUGGACAAAGACUGACGCUCAGAUGCGAAAGCGUGGGGAGCAAACAGGAUUAGAUACCCUGGUAG